UGAAACACAGGAUCUCGUUCCGAUCACCGAAGUUAAGCUACUUCGAGCCUUGUCAGUACUUAGAUGGAUGACUUCUUGCGAAUUAACAGAUGCUGCAUG